rnacentral:rRNA from 1 species
CUAGAGUGAGAUAGAGGCAAGCGGAAUUCCAUGUGUAGCGGUAAAAUGCGUAAAUAUAUGGAGGAACACCAGAGGCGUAGGCGGCUUGCUGGGUCUUUACUGACGCUGAGGCACGAAAGCGUGGGGAGCAAACAGGAUUAGAUACCCUGGUAGUCCACGCCGUAAACGAUGAGUACUAAGUGUCGGGUAAAACUGGUACUGAAGUUAACACAUUAAGUACUCCGCCUGAGUAGUACGUACGCAAGUAUGAAACUUAAAGGAAUUGACGGGACUCCGCACAAGCGGUGGAUCAUGUUGUUUAAUUCGAAGAUACACGAAAAACCUUACCAGGUCUUGACAUUUUCUUGCGAAGUUAUAGAAAUAUAAUGGAGGUUAUCAGGAAAACAGGUGGUGCAUGGUUGUCGUCAGCUCGUGUCGUGAGAUGUUAGGUUAAGUCCUAAAACGAGCGCAACCCUUGUCGUUAAUUGCCAGCAUGUAAUGAUGGGGACUUUAACGAGACUGCCAAUGAAAAAUUGGAGGAAGGUGGGGAUUACGUCAAAUCAUCAUGCCCCUUAUGAUCUGGGCUACAAACGUGAUACAAUGGUUGAUACAAAGAGUAGCUGAAACGCGAGUUCUUAACCAAUCUCAAAAAAUCAAUCUCAGUUCGGAUUGAAGUCUGCAACUCGACUUCAUGAAGUUGGAAUCGCUAGUAAUCGCGAAUCAGCA